rfam:Glycine soja cultivar W05 scaffold4802_7, whole genome shotgun sequence.
CUAAGACAGUGCUUACCUCAGCAACAUCUUUAAAAGUAGGCAUUCUAAGACGUUGCUAAUGUAAGCAUCGUCUUAGAAUGCGUACUUUCAAAGACGUUGCUGAGAUAAGCACCGUCCUU